rnacentral:misc_RNA from 1 species
UUUCCGUAGGUGAACCUGCGGAAGGAUCAAUAGGAAGAGAGAUGUGAGCGCGGGAGCGCGAACAUAUGGGUGCGCUGUGCCAGCCAGCCACGCGGGAGGCGGGUGCAGAGUGACACACGGGUGCGAACGGAGAGAAGAUUGUGAAAGGAGAGAAGGAAGGAAGAGAGAAUGAGUACCCUCAACAACGGAUCUCUAGGCUCUUGCAUCGAUGAAAACGCAGC